CUAGUAUAUUAGUUAGCUUGUGUUCUGUUAUCAACCACCCUCAAAUUUUUUGACUUAAAAGGAACAAUUUCAUUUGCUCACAGUUCUGUGGAUCUACUGGCAGAUUUUCUUGUUUGUGCUGCUUGACUGAUCUGUGUGGUCAGGAAGUCUAGAUAAUGCAGGAUGGUUGGUCUAGGUGGACUUAUCUGUAACUGUUCAUUUCUUGCUCUGAGUAGUUUCUCACCUUCCAGUAAUCUAGCCCAGGUCUCUUCAGAUGAUGUCUCAGUAUUCUAAGAAGUAGCAAGAGGGGAAGGUCCCAAGGUACACAUACUUUUUUUUGGUACCGGGGAUUGAACUCAGGGGCACUUGAUCACUGAGCCAUAUCCCCAGCCCUAUUUUGUGUUUUAUUUAGAGACAGGGUCUCACUGAGUUGCUUAGCACCUUGCUUUUUGCUGAGGCUGGCUUUGAACUCAGGAUCCUCCUGCCUCAACCUCCAAGCAUGCACCACUAUGCUUGGCAGUACACAUACUUUUUGAAUCUCUGACUGCAUCGGAUUCACUCUUGUUCUGAUUUCCAAAUCAUGUCACAUGAUCAAAGCCAGUGUCAAAGUGAGAGAUCUACCCAAGGGCAUGAAUUCAAGGAGGGGCUGUGGAGAAAGGGCCUGUUACUGCUGCAAUCUGUUUCAACACUGCAUGUCUUCUGCUGUGAUGCUGUGUGAAGCACACAGACCAACCUACGAUGUUCUCUUGUCAAAUCAAGGAAAAUGACACCACAAGGGAGCAAAUAGACUAGUAGAUGUUAGUGCAGCUCACUGAAAUGUUCACAUCUGUAAUUUCCAUGCACAUGGUAAGAUAUACUUCCUGGAUUUCUUUUUAUGAUCAGUUCUGGCCAAUGAGAUAAAGAAUAAUUGACUACCAGUCUGAGCAUUUAAUUGCCUAAAAGAGACUCUUUAGAGCUCUUUUCUUCUGCUACUAAGAUAACCAGCAAUGUUUUGCACUGUAAUUACUUCAUUAGUCUGGUUCUGGGUGUGAGAUUGAUGAUUAAAUGGUAGCAGAACUCCCCCUCAAUCUAAGAUGGAUAUAUAGGAGUGAGAAAUAGUUUCAUUGUUUUAAGCCAAUGAGAUGCUGGAGUUUCUGGGUCCCACAGUGUAACCCAGCUUAUCCUAUGAUAUACAAGCUAAUCUAGACUGUAGCUUAUCCUAUAGGACAAUCCAUCUGGUUUCUUCCAACAAGUUGCUGGCAUGAAAAAUGUUCAUUGAGGAAGGGGCUCCACUCUGGCUUCCUAAGACCUAAGAGCUCCCUAUAACCACAUGCUAGACAUGGGUC
rnacentral:lncRNA from 1 species